UACGUAGGGGGGCAAGCGUUGUCCGGAAUUAUUGGGCGUAAAGAGCGCGUAGGCGGUCCGAUAAGUCGGCUGUGAAAGUCCAGGGCUCAACCCUGGAAAGCCGGCCGAUACUGUCGGACUAGAGUCCGGAAGAGGCGAGUGGAAUUCCCGGUGUAGCGGUGAAAUGCGCAGAUAUCGGGAAGAACACCCGUGGCUAAGGCGGCUCUCUAGUACGGUACUGACGCUGAGACGCGAAAGCGUGGGGAGCGAACAGG
rnacentral:rRNA from 1 species